rnacentral:rRNA from 1 species
GAUGAACGCUGGCGGCGUGCCUAAUACAUGCAAGUCGAGCGAACGGACGAGGAGCUUGCUCCUCUGAUGUUGGCGGCGGACGGGUGAGUAACACGUGGAUAACCUACCUAUAAGACUGGGAUAACUUCGGGAAACCGGAGCUAAUACCGGAUGAUAUUUUGAACCGCAUGGUUCAAAAGUGAAAGACGGUCUUGCUGUCACUUAUAGAUGGAUCCGCGCUGCAUUAGCUAGUUGGUAAGGUAACGGCUUACCAAGGCAACGAUGCAUAGCCGACCUGAGAGGGUGAUCGGCCACACUGGAACUGAGACACGGUCCAGACUCCUACGGGAGGCAGCAGUAGGGAAUCUUCCGCAAUGGGCGAAAGCCUGACGGAGCAACGCCGCGGGAGUGAUGAAGGUCUUCGGAUCGUAAAACUCUGUUAUUAGGGAAGAACAAAUGUGUAAGUAACUGUGCACAUCUUGACGGUACCUAAUCAGAAAGCCACGGCUAACUACGUG